AUCCCAGGGCGUACUCUCGCCUUUGUCGCCAGGUGGAAGAACAGGAAUGCUUAUGUCUGAGGUGUCUAAACCUUAGUAUUACACGUAUGGCGGCUGUUGAGGGUCUCCAGGCCCCUGACGCAUUCAGUCAGGCCUGAUUGGUUGGUCCUGCUCUGGGCUCUUCCCUGGAGUACAUCUUGAGCCAGCAUGGAGGAACUGCCUCAUAGUGACAUUUUUUCUUCUUGAAACCGAGGCAGCAAUCAUCUCACUGUGCAUCUGCGGCAUUUGACUCAGCAACACACACCCAUGAUAUUAAAUUCACCUGUAAAUAUGCUAAUUUGUGUAAUGUGGCUGGAUCCACCCUCACAUCUAAUAAACACUUCAGUUUCCUCUGUAUUAAUAUUCA